rnacentral:lncRNA from 1 species
AAUUGCCGAGGUCCUCUUCUAGGAUUGGUUGUCCACUCAUAACCAUAAGAUAAUUAAAACGGGGGGGGGCAGGGUAAAAAAAAAACCCUUUUAUCAGCCAUAGGUUAAUGCAAGUGUUUAACAGAUGCUUCGCUAUUAAAAUAUUUCCCCCCAAUACUGAAGAAUCUUAAACCAGGCUAGAGCGCCAGCGCUCCUCUGACCCGGCACACUUUGGCAAAGUUGCAGUGGCCUGUUUGCUUAGGCACUGAAGUGGAUGACCCAAGUUAGGAUGACAACUUGCAGAGAACGCGGAUGAGACCUUCAGUUUGUGCCCACACUCAUUUGCAGCAACCCUAACAGAGAUUGCGAAGAUUUUCAAAGUGGGGCACCUCGAUUUCUCGAAUCUGUGGUGUGGCGAAUAUCCGUGUUCCUCCUGCUUAACUAGCCUGUUUGGCAGGUCUGAUUCUAUUUAUUCUAAAGACAGAGUUGGAGAUGGGCUACCAUUGGUGUUGAUUGAGAUGACAAGCAGUCACCUGAGCCCAUACAGCUGGGUUCACAGAUGUGGCUAGUCUUGCUAGCCAGCUCGCACUGUGGACAUUCUAGGGAACUGACUGCAGUCCUCAUGCUUGGAGUCAAACACUUUAACCACUGCACACGUUUAUGUAAUAGGAUUGACAUAUGAGAAUCAGAGAAAUGAAUGAAAGAUUAGAGUGGGAGAAAGUGCUUGCUGCCAAGCUUGAUGACCUAAAUUGAAUACCUGGAACCUACACGACAGAAAGAGAGAGCUGACUGCUGAAAGAUGUCCUCAGAUCUUCACAUGUGCACAGUGGCACCUAUCCAACCAUGCACAUAGUAUAUUAAAAAUUAUUUUUUAAAAAA